rnacentral:misc_RNA from 1 species
GGAAGGAGACGUUUCCUCGUUUUUCAGCAGUUUGUAUCUUCUUCUGACACACUUUCAAAUCCCAAAUUUUAUUUUAUUUUAAAUAAAAAAUUAAAAUACAAACACUUGUCUCUCAUAAAAAAUUGGGCUGGCUGAAUCAAAUGAUUAAUUUUUUUGAGUGAGCAUCAAAUGAUGAUUUGAAAUAUGAGAGGGUCAAAUCAGAGAAGUUCCCUAAUGUUGAUGUAUCGCAGUGAGAGAGUUGCAGAGAUUUU